rnacentral:rRNA from 1 species
UACGGAGGGGGGUAGCGUUGUUCGGAAUUACUGGGCGUAAAGCGCACGUAGGCGGACCAGCAAGUUAGGGGUGAAAUCCCUCGGCUUAACUGAGGAACUGCACGGGAUACUGCUUGACUUGAGUUCGGGAGAGGGAAGCGGAAUUCCGGGUGUAGCGGUGAAAUGCGUAGAUAUCCGGAGGAACACCGGUGGCGAAGGCGGCUUCCUGGACCGACACUGACGCUGAGGCGCGAAAGCUAGGGGAGCAAACGGG